GCGAAAAGAACCCCGGCGAGGGGAGUGAAAAAGAACCUGAAACCGUGUACGUACAAGCAGUGGGAGCACAGGUUUACCUGUGUGACUGCGUACCUUUUGUAUAAUGGGUCAGCGACUUAUAUUCUGUAGCAAGGUUAACCGUAUAGGGGAGCCGGAGGGAAACCGAGUCUUAACCGGGCGUUAAGUUGCAGGGUAUAGACCCGAAACCCGGUGAUCUAGCCAUGGGCAGGUUGAAGGUUGGGUAACACUAACUGGAGGACCGAACCGACUAAUGUUGAAAAAUUAGCGGAUGACCUGUGGCUGGGGGUGAAAGGCCAAUCAAACCGGGAGAUAGCUGGUUCUCCCCGAAAGCUAUUUAGGUAGCGCCUCGUGAACUCAUCUCCGGGGGUAGAGCACUGUUUCGGCUAGGGGGCCAUCCCGGCUUACCAACCCGAUGCAAACUGCGAAUACCGGAGAAUGUUAUCACGGGAGACACACGGCGGGUGCUAACGUCCGUCGUGAAGAGGGAAACAACCCAGACCGCCAGCUAAGGUCCCAAAGUCAUGGUUAAGUGGGAAACGAUGUGGGAAGGCCCAGACAGCCAGGAUGUUGGCUUAGAAGCAGCCAUCAUUUAAAGAAAGCGUAAUAGCUCACUGGUCGAGUCGGCCUGCGCGGAAGAUGUAACGGGGCUAAACCAUGCACCGAAGCUGCGGCAGCGACACUGUGUGUUGUUGGGUAGGGGAGCGUUCUGUAAGCCUGUGAAGGUGGCCUGUGAGGGUUGCUGGAGGUAUCAGAAGUGCGAAUGCUGACAUAAGUAACGAUAAAGCGGGUGAAAAGCCCGCUCGCCGGAAGACCAAGGGUUCCUGUCCAACGUUAAUCGGGGCAGGGUGAGUCGACCCCUAAGGCGAGGCCGAAAGGCGUAGUCGAUGGGAAACGGGUUAAUAUUCCCGUACUUGGUGUUACUGCGAAGGGGGGACGGAGAAGGCUAUGUUGGCCGGGCGACGGUUGUCCCGGUUUAAGCGUGUAGGUGUGUGUUCCAGGUAAAUCCGGUUCACUUUAACACUGAGGCGUGAUGACGAGGCACUACGGUGCUGAAGCAACAAAUGCCCUGCUUCCAGGAAAAGCCUCUAAGCAUCAGGUAACACGAAAUCGUACCCCAAACCGACACAGGUGGUCAGGUAGAGAAUACCAAGGCGCUUGAGAGAACUCGGGUGAAGGAACUAGGCAAAAUGGUGCCGUAACUUCGGGAGAAGGCACGCUGACACGUAGGUGAAGUGAUUUACUCAUGGAGCUGAAGUCAGUCGAAGAUACCAGCUGGCUGCAACUGUUUAUUAAAAACACAGCACUGUGCAAACACGAAAGUGGACGUAUACGGUGUGACGCCUGCCCGGUGCCGGAAGGUUAAUUGAUGGGGUCAGCGCAAGCGAAGCUCCUGAUCGAAGCCCCGGUAAACGGCGGCCGUAACUAUAACGGUCCUAAGGUAGCGAAAUUCCUUGUCGGGUAAGUUCCGACCUGCACGAAUGGCGUAAUGAUGGCCAGGCUGUCUCCACCCGAGACUCAGUGAAAUUGAACUCGCUGUGAAGAUGCAGUGUACCCGCGGCAAGACGGAAAGACCCCGUGAACCUUUACUAUAGCUUGACACUGAACAUUGAGCCUUGAUGUGUAGGAUAGGUGGGAGGCUUUGAAGUGUGGACGCCAGUCUGCAUGGAGCCGACCUUGAAAUACCACCCUUUAAUGUUUGAUGUUCUAACGUGGACCCGUUACCCGGGUUGCGGACAGUGUCUGGUGGGUAGUUUGACUGGGGCGGUCUCCUCCUAAAGAGUAACGGAGGAGCACGAAGGUUGGCUAAUCCUGGUCGGACAUCAGGAGGUUAGUGCAAUGGCAUAAGCCAGCUUGACUGCGAGCGUGACGGCGCGAGCAGGUGCGAAAGCAGGUCAUAGUGAUCCGGUGGUUCUGAAUGGAAGGGCCAUCGCUCAACGGAUAAAAGGUACUCCGGGGAUAACAGGCUGAUACCGCCCAAGAGUUCAUAUCGACGGCGGUGUUUGGCACCUCGAUGUCGGCUCAUCACAUCCUGGGGCUGAAGUAGGUCCCAAGGGUAUGGCUGUUCGCCAUUUAAAGUGGUACGCGAGCUGGGUUUAGAACGUCGUGAGACAGUUCGGUCCCUAUCUGCCGUGGGCGCUGGAGAACUGAGGGGGGCUGCUCCUAGUACGAGAGGACCGGAGUGGACGCAUCACUGGUGUUCGGGUUGUCAUGCCAAUGGCACUGCCCGGUAGCUAAAUGCGGAAGAGAUAAGUGCUGAAAGCAUCUAAGCACGAAACUUGCCCCGA
rnacentral:rRNA from 1 species